AUAUUCUUUGAGGAUUUUGUAGGGAAUUAUUAGAAGACUCAAACUUAUCUGGAAGAACUAAAGAACUGAAUUUACUGGUCCAGUAAAAAUGUUACAGAACUUAUUAGUUAUUUAUCAUUUCAAAAAUGGAUCAAUAUGUAUUUUUUCCUAAAAUAAAUUACCCUAACAUCACCCUCAAAAAUUAUUUAUAACAAUAAAAUUCCAUACUAACAUCUGUGUUAUAUUAAUGCUCUGAUGCAGGGGCACUAAUCUGGGUAUUCACGACCUCAAUUUCGGAUAUACUCAUGCUUUUGAAACUACCUUUGAUGAUCUGGAGGGCUUGCAGGAGUAUCUUGAUUCUUCGGUUGUUGCUAAAUUCGCAGAAGGAUUCUUGCCAACCAUGUCGCAACAAUUUGUGAUGGACUAUGAACUGUACUAAAUCUUUACUGGGCAAUGAAGACUUAUUAUCUUGCUAUCUGAAGACAAGAUUCUGCUCUACUAUGUAUAAGCAAUAAUUGGCGGUGUUACCACCAAAUGUGUGUGGCAAUAAAUCUAAUUUGUUUUUUCAUAUGC
rnacentral:lncRNA from 1 species